GACGAACGCUGGCGGCGUGCUUAACACAUGCAAGUCGAACGGAAAGGCCCUGCUUUUGUGGGGUGCUCGAGUGGCGAACGGGUGAGUAACACGUGAGUAACCUGCCCUUGACUUUGGGAUAACUUCAGGAAACUGGGGCUAAUACCGGAUAGGAGCUCCUGCUGCAUGGUGGGGGUGGGAAAGUUUCGGCGGUUGGGGAUGGACUCGCGGCCUAUCAGCUUGUUGGUGGGGUAGUGGCGUACCAAGGCAUUGACGGGUAGCCGGCCCGAGAGGGUGACCGGCCACAUUGGGCCUGAGAUACGGCCCAGACUCCUACGGGAGGCAGCAGUGGGGAAUAUUGCACAAUGGGCGGAAGCCUGAUGCAGCAACGCCGCGUGCGGAAAGACGGUCUUCGGGUUGGAAACCGCUUUCGCCUGUGACGAAGCGUGAGUGACGGUAAUGGGUAAAGAAGCACCGGCUAACUACGUG
rnacentral:rRNA from 1 species